UACGUAGGGCGCAAGCGUUAUCCGGAAUUAUUGGGCGUAAAGAGCUCGUAGGCGGUUUGUCGCGUCUGCCGUGAAAAUCCGGGGCUCAACCCCGGACUUGCAGUGGGUACGGGCAGACUAGAGUGUGGUAGGGGAGACCGGAAUUCCUGGUGUAGCGGUGAAAUGCGCAGAUAUCAGGAGGAACACCGAUGGCGAAGGCAGGUCUCUGGGCCACUACUGACGCUGAGAAGCGAAAGCAUGGGGAGCGAACAGG
rnacentral:rRNA from 1 species